CAAAGAGCUCCAGCAACACUUGUAGUUCAGGAAAACAUCUUUAUUCAUUUGAAAUGUGUUGGUGGAAUAAAGCUGUUUUCCUGAACUACAAGUGUUGCUGGAGCUCUUUU